UGGAUAUAGCUCAAGGUAAAGCUGGAUCGGAGAUCCCUGACCAGCCUUACGGGUCGGGGAAAUGUUACGGAGUGCGCCAAUCUCUCACUUCGCAGUCUACGAGCGAGGGCCCUUUAUUCGCAGAUGACAAUUGACGUGAAGAGAAUCUAGCGUUAUUGUAUAUUUGUAGUCGUAUAUUGAUAGACGUCAAGUUCGACGAUGAUAUGCAGGAUUAGGGAUUGAUUGUCUUACUGAACAAUGUUAAAAAGAUUGUUAGAAGUUGAUUUGAGUUUUGAUCAUAUAAAUCCUAAGUUUAUUAGCCUUAAACCGAUAAUUACCACGAUUGGUAUAUUACUCCAAUUAGUUCAUGGACAGAGUGAAGUCCAAGUCUCGAUUUAGGCUGAGGUUAUAAUUGUAAGUGGAUAAAAUUAGUUGAAUUG
rnacentral:lncRNA from 1 species